GGGUGCGAUCAUACCAGCACUAAUGCACCGGAUCCCAUUAGAACUCCGUUGUUAAGCGUGCUUGAGCGAGAGUAUUACUAGGAUGGGUGACCUCCUGGGAAGUCCUCGUGUUGCACCCC
rnacentral:rRNA from 1 species